AGCUAACACACGACGUUGUCACAACGUUGUGGAAAGGUUGUGGAUUGGUAACGUCGUGAAAUAACGUUGUCACCACGUUAUUAUGACGUCAACGUGCAACGUUAUUUCACAACGUUAUAACAACGUUGCACAUUCACGUUGUGAAAACGUUGUGCAUCGGACAUCGCACAACGUUUUGUAACAACGUUUCUGAAACGUCGGUGAAACGUUAUAAAGUUUGCUUCUUGAUAGUCAUAAAGGAAUAGAACUGCUUUAUCAAAAUCAACAUGAAUUUGUCAGAAUACCAAGGCAGUAAUGCAUUACCUUUCUGUAUAUUCGGCAUUUGAAUUUUCAUCUCUUAAUACUAAAAUUUCCAGAACGUAAUUGCGUAUCUCUAUUACAACGUUAGUAUUACGUUACAUUGUAACGUUAUUCCACAACGUAACAACAACGUUGCAAAUUAACGUUGUGAUAACGUUAUGCUUUGGACAUUACAACACUUUUUGUAAAUGAUGUUUAGGAAACCACUUGUAGAUCUACCAUCUCGUAGUUUUAUUUUUUUUAAACAUAUAUAUCUAUGAACGAAGUUAUCUGUCUACUAAAUGUUGUCUAAAGCAAAAUUACAGUUAAAAACACAUUGGCGCGCAUUUUUUGCGGCGUGAGAGCGACUGCUGAAAAGUUUAGCCUGUUGCCUCGUGAAGUGACGUCAAAAUGACGUCACAUUGUCGCGGAAGAUUUGUUGUCACCAGCCAUCUUAGUUCAAACUCACUCUGGAUAUAUUACAACCAAGUGAUUGUGCAGCAACGGGAACUGGACAGAUGAUCUGUGAAUUCGGAUAAGCAAGGGGGAAAAUGUUACACGACCAUUCCAGGAGAUAGAAUCAAGAAUGUUGAAUCAUUGAGGAACACACCAAAUAAACCCUGGGCUGUGAAUUAUGUUAACGGAAGUGGAAGUGAACACAAAAGAAAGAAGAUUCUGGCAUUCAAUAAUUUCGAAAAGUGUAUAAAUUUUCUAUAAUCUAAAAAUAAUAAAAUGUCAACGCAAAUGUGUCUUGGAGUUCUUUGUUGAAUGGUGACUUCGCAUGACUGAAAGUUGAAGUAUACUAUAUGGACUUGAUUAGAGACCGACCAUUUAAUAUUCAAGGAGGUGGGGACUUGGAUUUUUUCUAUGGAGAUUACAUAUGUUUUCGGUCACAGCUACAAAAGCAGAUAUAUGAUUUUCUUUAACUCUAUGAGCCUGAAGAUGAGCACCUUGUAUCUAGUUCUAUGGCAUUUUUUUGUGGCAGGCAUUUUUUUCACCAGUCUGAAUCGUAAUUAUUUUUGUCAAGAAUUUUCGGUGACAAUAUAUUUUUUCGAUAAUAUUCCAGGACCCGACCCUCCCCAGAAAAUAUCACAUGGUCAACCCCUUACAUUGUCUGCCAUUCUUUUUUUUGUUUCUUUCAGUACAAGCCUAAAGGGUAACGGUGUCUGACUUUGUUAUAGUCAAAUCAUGUAUCCAGUUAACAG